CAUCUCCCAGCCCCAAUUUGUUAGAAACUCGAAAAAGUUUUUCCUGGUUGCCUGCAACCAUCAGAGCCUCUUCUCCCAAUUUGGCCUAAAAGGAUAGGGGUUUUGUGCAAACUAGGGCAAGAUUCAUCCUUACCACCACAUGGCACAGGCAGACGCAAUAGUCAUCUGCUCCCAUUCCAGGUGGACGCUCCUCGUCUGUGCUCCACUCCCCACGGUGCGAUCCUGCAAUUGGAGGGGAAACGUUUAGUGGGGAGAAAAGUGAUAGAGGGUCACAUGUAGGUGGCAGUGAUGUGGCCUUCUUCUCAGAUGAGGAGCCGGCCAACAUUCCCCAGCAGCAGCUCCCAGGCCAGAGGAGAUAAAGUGGCCCCCCAGGAAUCUGAGAAAGAUAGGCUCCACAAAUCCAUAAUUAGGCAUCACAAAGCCUUGAUGAGAAAAUUGGAUCUUAUGCAUGUUGACUUGUGUGUGGCCACUAAUGCCUACAAUGCUAGUCAGGCACGGCAAGCCACACAUGAGUCGGCAAUGCUAAGCCUCCAGCAGGCCAGCGAGGCACGCAAAGCACAACAUGAGGCUGCCAUGUUAAGCCUGCAAGAGGAGCGGGUAGAACUCACAAGGCAAAAACUGGCACUGUUGGCACAACACAAUUUGCUCCUACAGCAACAAAUUGCCCUCCAACAACAGGCACAAAAGCCAACAGAACCAACAAGCUCUACCAGUCGAGCUACUGGUGAGAGCACAGCUCCCGCUCCUGCAGGUUGACUAGGCAGAAGAAAAUAGAUCAGACUCAUUAGGGAUUUGUGGAACCUAUCUUUUCUUAGGCAUAUGUUUUUUGUAAAGCUUUCUUUGUAGGUUUUUUUUUUGUGUUGCGGGUGGGGGAAUAACCUGCUUAAAAUAUUUAUUUUGUAAGUGGGUUCCCUGUAAAUAAACUUUUUCUUUUGGA